rnacentral:rRNA from 1 species
CGAAAGGAACGUAAUACCGCAAACUUCCUACGGAGAAAGCAGGGACCUUUCGGCCCUUGCGCUAUCAGAUGAGCNUAGGUCGGAUUAGCUAGUUGGUGAGGUAAUGGCUCACCAAGGCGACGAUCCGUAACUGGUCUGAGAGGAUGAUCAGUCACACUGGAACUGAGACACGGUCCAGACUCCUACGGGAGGCAGCAGUGGGGAAUAUUGGACAAUGGGCGAAAGCCUGAUCCAGCCAUGCCGCGUGUGUGAAGAAGGUCUUCGGAUUGUAAAGCACUUUAAGUUGGGAGGAAGGGCAUUAACCUAAUACGUUAGUGUUUUGACGUUACGGACAGA